rnacentral:lncRNA from 1 species
AUGGUAGUGAAAAUGAUGGCGACCGAUGCAGAGGAGAUAAGAAACCAAACAAGCCCCUGCCCUAUCCCCGACAACAGUCUCAGCACUCUGUCCAUCAAAAUCACGCGGAAAAACCAGGAUAGACACUGGAAGUUGCGGUCUAUUUACCUGCAGUGCUAUUUCUUGACCAUUGCAACAAUAUUGGGAACUGGAAUCUUAGGUCUUCCAGUGACGAUAGCCCAUGCUGGAUUGUUGCCUUUCCUCGUCUCGUUUCUCGUUGGCUUCUUUGUCCAGGCUUUGCUUAUCUACCUGUUUGUGGAACUUCUUCAGAAAUGUCAGGUGGUUCAGCUGGAAUCUCUGAAGACAGGUGUCGCCGAAUGUAUCUCGAUGGAUCAGGUGGGCGUGGAGGAUCCGGCACCCACAGAGGACGAGGAUGAGGACGAGGGUGAAAAUGCAGAGGCGGAUACCGGUUUACUACAGUCAGAUGGAGUAGCUUUGCACAACCAAGCUGAGUGCCUGCAGCCCAACCUUCAUCUGCUCGGCUACAUCUUCCUCUCCCGGCCCAUGAGCCACGCCUUUAACUGCAUCCUCCUCUUCCAGUUUAUUUCUAUUGGAAUCAGUUAUGUGUUAGCUGGCAGUGAGGCCUUUGCUGCUCUUCUUAAUGUCAGCCACAUCUACGUGAUCCCGGCCUUCACCUGGAUUCUAACUCUUGCAAUCUUACUGGCCCACACAAUCAUCCAACCAAUCACGUCUCUGCUUACCCUGCUGAAAGGACUUCUGCUCAUUGUCACGGUGGCUGUGACAUUUGCGGUGGGGUCUGAGGUUGGCCUUCAGAGCAGCAGUGACUUCAGUCAGAUGGGGAAACCUUUCCUAAUGGGAACAGUGGCUCUGGGGGGGAUAGUAAACGUGAUGCCUCUGCUCUUCUCGCAGAUCUCUCACAACAAAACACAGAUCCUGUGGUUUCGGAGAGCAGUGCUUGGAGGUCUGACAACCUGCACUGUGCUCAACAUCCUCUGGUGCUGGGCUGUGCUGGAAAUUGUCCCCCAGACGUCGUUACCAGAGAGGCGGACGGCAGGAGAGACUACAACCCAGCCCGACUCCAGCAGCCUGUCUGGUCCUCACUCCGCUGUCUCCCCUCUGCUGUACUCCAACAUCUCACUAGAGGAGAUGGAUGAUGAGCCUUGCAUGCUUUCAUUCAGGCCAGUCAGAAGGAUACGGGUGUCAGAUGUUCCGGCUCGGCAGGAGGCACAGUCUGAGACGUGUGCAGCACGUCAGCAAGUCAGCACCUUGCCCCAAGACCGCCACCUGCCAUCAAAGUACAGCAACAGGUCUGAGAAAGCGGGCGAGAUUGCAACCAUUCCACUGACUAAGAUUAUUAAUGAACGUUACAGGGCGUACUCCUGGGUGGCUGAGCUGAUCCAGGUCUUCAUAGCCAUCAGCGUCACUGUGUCCUUCCUGGUGAUGGGAUCGGCCAUGAAACACACCAUUGAUGGCCUGGUGAACUCGCUGUGGAGCAGCCAACUGGAGUGGUUGUCUAAAGCCUGGGAGAGAAACCUGCCGAACAAACAUCACAUCUGCUCAGCGAGAAGCAUGGCUAAAGGAUUCAUGUCGCUUCUUGGGUUUACUGUCAUCUUUAUCGUGUCAGUGUGUGAUCCCAGGGGUUUCAUUGUCAUGUUGGACAAAGUUGUGUCGUUCUCCCUCAACACUGAAGUUGGACUGUUUGUCUUCAUCAUGCUGAGAGAAUCCAGAGAAGACAGAUUCCAACACCUUGCUGUCCCUCUGCCAGUAGGUGACUGUGUCUUCAGCCUCAGCUGGAUGCUCCCCACCUACUUCCUGUUUGCAGUUACGUACGACGUCCUGCAGACUCUGGCGGACGUGGCUCAUUACCUGCAUUUCUACAGCAACAGUGAGGAAGCACACAGCCACAAUCUGACUGGGAGUUUAACGGCAGCCAAUCUGUCCGUCCUGCUCUGAUCCUCAAUCAGCCAGAAAACAGACGGACCAGUAGGAGUUGGAAUUGCCAAAAAUCAGAUGCUUAGCAAGUGCUUUUAUAUUGUAUUCACACUUAUCAAGCUCUUGAUACAUUUUGAAAAUGUCAAACAUAGGCAUUAUUUGUUUUUGAUGGAAUGUUUUUGCACUCUUUUUUUCUUUGUUCACUUGCGGUGGCCUCGCUGCGCAUGCAAACUGUAAAAUGUUUUAGUUUUUCCAGUAGUCUGGAAACCACCACACAGCAGGGGCCAGAUGUAUGAACGAGGCAUACGCACAAAAAAACAUCAAGUGUCUCCACCUCAUGCAUAGUUCAGACCGAGUGUACCUUUAAGGUGUAGAUCAGUGGUUCCCACUAGGGGUCACCAAAGCUUCACAGGGUUGUGAUGCCUUCUUGAAAACUUUAAACAAAAACAAAUAUACACAUUAGGCCUGUAUCUCAGUAUAUUGUUCAUUUCUGUGAAGUAUUUUAUAGUUUAGAUUAUUAUUCAAGAAUAAAAUCAACAUAUAUUCACAGAGCCUCCGAUAAACAGCCUCCUGCUGCAUCUGUAAAAUACACAGUAUGAACAUGUGUCAAAGGAAGAAGCCUAUUAGGGAG